rnacentral:rRNA from 1 species
AGCGAACGCUGGCGGCAGGCCUAACACAUGCAAGUCGAACGGAUCCUUCGGGAUUAGUGGCGGACGGGUGAGUAACACGUGGGAACGUGCCCUUUGGUUCGGAACAACUCAGGGAAACUUGAGCUAAUACCGGAUGUGCCCUUCGGGGGAAAGAUUUAUCGCCAUUGGAGCGGCCCGCGUCGGAUUAGCUAGUUGGUGAGGUAAAGGCUCACCAAGGCGACGAUCAGUAGCCGGUCUGAGAGGAUGAUCAGCCACAUUGGGCCUGAGACACGGCCCUAACCCCUAGGGGGGGCACCAGUGGGGAGUCUUGCGGAAUGGGCGGAAGCGUGCCGCUGCCACGCCGCGUGAGCGAUGAAUGUCUGAGGAUUGUAAGAUUCUCUCACCGGGGAAGUUAAUGACGGUACCCGGAGAGGAAGCCUUGGCUAACUGCGUGCCAGCAGCCGCAGUAAAAC